GGAAAUGUGCCUGAGUGUUUAAGGGCCACUAUGAUAAAGUGAAUACAGAGGUGUACCAAUCCUCUCAUUUCCU
rnacentral:tRNA from 1 species